GAUGAACGCUGGCGGCGUGCCUAAUACAUGCAAGUCGAGCGAACAGACGAGGAUCUUGCUCCUCUGACGUUAGCGGCGGACGGGUGAGUAACACGUGGAUAACCUAUCUAUAUGACUUGGAUAACUGCGGGAAACCGUAGCUAAUACCGGAUAAUAUAUCGAACCGCAUGGUGCAAUAGUGAAUUACGGGUUUUCUGUCACCUAUAGAUGUAUCCGCGCCUCAUUAGCUAGUUGGUAAGGUAACGGCUUACCAAGGCAACGAUGCGUAGCCGACCUGAGAGGGGGAUCGGCCACACUGGAACUGAGACGCGGUCCAGACACCGACGGGAGGCCGCAGUAGGGAAUCUUGCGCACUGGGCGAAAGCCUGAAGGAGCAACGCAGCGCGAGUGAUGAAGGUCUGCGGAUCGUAAAACUCUGUUAUGAGGGAAGAACAAAUGUGUAAGUAAAUAUGCACGUCUUGACGGUACCUAAUCAGAAAGCCACGGCUAACUACGU
rnacentral:rRNA from 1 species